UACGGAGGAGGCAAGCGUUAUCCGGAUUUAUUGGGCGUAAAGCGUCCGCAGGUGGUUUUACAAGUCUGCUGUCAAAGCGCGAAGCUCAACUUCGUAUAGGCAGUGGAAACUGUAAGACUUGAGUGUGAUAGGGGCAGAGGGAAUUCCCAGUGUAGCGGUGAAAUGCGUAGAGAUUGGGAAGAACACCGGUGGCGAAAGCGCUCUGCUGGGUCACGACUGACACUGAGGGACGAAAGCUAGGGGAGCGAAAGGG
rnacentral:rRNA from 1 species